rnacentral:rRNA from 1 species
UACGUAGGGGGCAAGCGUUGUCCGGAUUUAUUGGGCGUAAAGAGCGUGUAGGCGGCCAUGUAGGUCCGUUGUGAAAACUCGAGGCUCAACCUCGAGACGCCGAUGGAAACCAUGUGGCUAGAGUCCGGAAGAGGAGAGUGGAAUUCCUGGUGUAGCGGUGAAAUGCGCAGAUAUCAGGAAGAACACCCGUGGCUAAGGCGGCUCUCUAGUAGCGGUACUGACGCUGAGACG